GACUAGUCCAAGUGCAGUGUUGUUUACGAUUAAUUGAUCACAACCAGGUACAGAUUCCUCUGUUCCUUCUCCACUCCCACUGCUUCACUUGACUAAAAA
ensembl:misc_RNA Y_RNA Y RNA